rnacentral:rRNA from 1 species
UUACUAAAAAAUUAAUAGUUAAGUUCUUUAAAUUUAAAAAAUUUGGCGGUAUUUUAGUCUUAUUAGAGGAACCUGUUUUAUAAUUGAUAAUCCACGAUAAAUUUUACUUAAUUUUAAAAUUCAUAUAUCGCUGUCAUGAAUAUAUUUAAAAAUUUAUUUUCUUUAAUUAUUAAUUUAAUUUAUGUUAAGUCAAGAUGUGGUUUAUAAAUAAGAAAAUAAUGGGUUACAUUUAAUUCUAUUUUUGGAUUUUAAAAUGAAAAAUAAAAUAAAAUUGGAUUUAAUAGUAAAUUUAUUUAUUUAAUUAAAAUGAAUAUAGAUCUAGAAUAUGUACAUAUUGCCCGUCAUUCUUAUAAGAAAUAAGACAAGUCGUAACAAAGUAAAUGUACUGGAAAGUGUAUUUAGAAAGGUUAAAAUUUAUAUUAAAUAAUUUUAAA